AGGUAGUGACGUCAGGGUCUCGCUGUAGAGAAGCGGGACAUUGCUGUCUUCUCAGGAGUUUGACAUAGCGUUCUUUCACUUCCGGGUUCUAUAUUGAACGCCGCCAUAUGAGAAGAACCUAAGGCAAAAUAGACAGGGAGCCUCUCUACUACUCUAGUAGAUACAGCUUGCUGCUACCCCUCUGCAAAUUCUACACUCUGUGGUUCCCCUUUACUAUUUAUUUGCAUCAGACGUUCGACUGGGAACAGCAGAUGUCACUAUAACUUCUUCGAGUCUGGACCCGCUUGUGUGCUGAAGCAGGAGGUGGAGCGUAAAAGGAAUUACAGUUCGAGAGCAUAGACUUAUGCAAAAGAAAAUGGCGCCUAAAAUCUAAAGGCCCGAUCUCUAAUAAGGAUUUAUUCAAAUAUGACCUUCAGUCUAUGCAAGCAACGUGAAGAAAGCAAACUGUUAUAUCCUCCCAGGCUGCAAGGAUAGAGCUUGGCGACGCUCUGUCCCUUAGCUUCUCUAUGGUACUAUUAUCAUAUCUCCAUUGUUCGCUAUACUGAUAAAUUCAAUUCUCAUUUUCUCUCUUGAGUGCCAAUCCUUAUGCAGCCAAAAUCCACCCACAAAUAUGAGAGAUCGAGGGAAUCCUAAGGUUUGCAGAAAUGCAAAACACAAAACAAAACCGCAAAGUGGGGUAGGGGAGCUAAACAACCCAAUGAGGCCUGAACAUGCUCAGUGGCCAGAAAAUGCUGACAAA